rnacentral:rRNA from 1 species
CUGAGGAGUACGGUCGCAAGAUUAAAACUCAAAGGAAUUGACGGGGACCCGCACAAGCGGUGGAUGAUGUGGAUUAAUUCGAUGCAACGCGAAAAACCUUACCUACCCUUGACAUGUCACUAACGAAGUAGAGAUACAUUAGGUGCCCGUAAGGGAAAGUGAACACAGGUGCUGCAUGGCUGUCGUCAGCUCGUGUCGUGAGAUGUUGGGUUAAGUCCCGCAACGAGCGCAACCCUUGUCUUUAGUUGCUACGAAAGAGCACUCUAAAGAGACUGCCGGUGACAAACCGGAGGAAGGUGGGGAUGACGUCAAGUCCUCAUGGCCCUUAUGGGUAGGGCUUCACACGUCAUACAAUGGUGCGUACAGAGGGUUGCCAACCCGCGAGGGGGAGCUAAUCUCUUAAAACGCAUCGUAGUCCGGAUCGUAGUCUGCAACUCGACUACGUGAAGCUGGAAUCGCUAGUAAUCGCGGAUCAGCAUGUCGCGGUGAAUACGUUCCCGGGUCUUGUACACACCGCCCGUCACACCAUGG